AGUUUGCGGCGGAAGCUGUGCAGCUCUGUUCAUGAUGGCUGAGAAACAGCAGGGAAUUGUUGCCCUCUGUAGCUUCCACAGGAGCCCAGACAGACAGACAUGGUAAAAGCAUAGGAAAA